AGAGUUUGAUCCUGGCUCAGGAUGAACGCUAGCGAUAGGCUUAACACAUGCAAGUCGAGGGGCAGCAUGGUCUUAGCUUGCUAAGACUGAUGGCGACCGGCGCACGGGUGCGUAACGCGUAUGCAACUUGCCUCACAGAGGGGGAUAACCCGUCGAAAGACGGACUAAUACCGCGUACACUCCAUCUUGGGCAUCCAGGGUAGAGGAAAUGAAAUUCGCUGUGAGAUAGGCAUGCGUCCCAUUAGCUAGUUGGUGAGGUAACGGCUCACCAAGGCGACGAUGGGUAGGGGAACUGAGAGGUUGAACCCCCACACUGGUACUGAGACACGGACCAGACUCCUACGGGAGGCAGCAGUGAGGAAUAUUGGUCAAUGGGCGAGAGCCUGAACCAGCCAAGUCGCGUGAAGGAUGACUGUCUUAUGGAUUGUAAACUUCUUUUAUACGGGAAUAACAAGAGUCACGUGUGACUCCCUGCAUGUACCGUAUGAAUAAGCAUCGGCUAACUCCGUGCCAGCAGCCGCGGUAAUACGGAGGAUGCGAGCGUUAUCCGGAUUUAUUGGGUUUAAAGGGUGCGUAGGCGGCCUGUUAAGUCAGCGGUGAAAUCUAGGAGCUUAACUCCUAAAUUGCCAUUGAUACUGGCGGGCUUGAGUGUAGAUGAGGUAGGCGGAAUGCGUGGUGUAGCGGUGGAAUGCAUAGAUAUCACGCAGAACUCCGAUUGCGAAGGCAGCUUACUAAGGUACAACUGACGCUGAAGCACGAAAGCGUGGGUAUCAAACAGGAUUAGAUACCCUGGUAGUCCACGCAGUAAACGAUGAUAACUGGGCGUAUGCGAUAUACAGUAUGCUCCUAAGCGAAAGCGUUAAGUUAUCCACCUGGGGAGUACGCCGGCAACGGUGAAACUCAAAGGAAUUGACGGGGGCCCG
rnacentral:rRNA from 1 species